AUCCUUGGAUGUUCUAUCAAACAUGUUGCCUGUGAAGCUAAAGAACUGUUGCUUGGCACGACAUCUCAGGUGGGUUUGUGAUGAAUUUUACAACCACCAGUUCGAAGGAAGCAAAUGCACUUCAAGUACUUUCUAGUUUUCCUCAAACACAAACAAGUAAAAAAAAAAUUGAUUUACAUACUUCACUUCUAAAGCUAUACUCUGAUCUUAUUGAUCUUUUGGUUUGCAUAUAUAAUCCGGAAGCCCAAACAAGGUCUUACAUUCUCUGAAAGAGUUUCUGCUGAGAAUCGCCCUUGUGCAUCCCAGUGUCUCCUUCAAAAUUGUUGAUAUUGAAAGUGAGGAUGACCUGCUUUGCACAGGUGUUUCUCCUUCUCCGUUGCCACUAUUGUCCAGUGGGUUUGGGAUUCAUCUGAGUUCCCUUAACAAAUUGAGUGCAAGCAAUUGUUCAUUCAAGCUUUCAGGAUACAUCUCAGGCCAAGUGUGAAAAUGAAACUUGUUAACAUCUGGAAUAGCAAAUUACAAGCUCAAGGGGAGUGCACAAGUACACGCAAUGGGAAGUCAAAAGAAGAUAAACCAUUCCUGUCAUUUGUUCCUGACCUGAAUAAGAAUUAAGAGCUGAAUGUUUCAGUCAAUUAGCUGCAUUUCUUUCUCCAACUUCUCAAGAUUAUCUUAGACUGCAUUCUUAUUAAUCAUGAAAGCCUUAGAGAUUACAAUGUCUAUUUCUUAGUCUCCUGCACUACAUAGUCUCUUUCAAAUUCCAUCUUGCAUAUGUUCUGAUUUUUGUAACAGAAUUGUCAUGCCUGGCUUUUUU